AGGGGGGGCAAGCGUUGUUCGGAAUUACUGGGCGUAAAGGGCUCGUAGGCGGCCAACUAAGUCACACGUGAAAUCCCCAGGCUCAACCUGGGAACUGCGUGUGAUACUGGAUGGCUUGAAUUCGGGAGAGGGAUGCAGAAUUCCAGGUGUAGCGGUGAAAUGCGUAGAUAUCUGGAGGAAUACCGGUGGCGAAGGCGGCAUCCUGGACCGACAUUGACGCUGAGGAGCGAAAGCUAGGGGAGCAAACGGGAUUAGAUACCCCGGUAGUCCUAGCCCUAAACGAUGAAUGCUUGGUGUGGCGGGUAUCGAUCCCUGCCGUGCCGAAGCUAACGCAUUAAGCAUUCCGCCUGGGGAGUACGGUCGCAWGGCUG
rnacentral:rRNA from 1 species